AGUCUCUGCAGCCCCGAGGGAAUAUUCUCCAGACCCCCAUAACAGAAAAAAACUUACGUGCUGCAGGCACGGAGACCAGGGAAUGAUGGCAACAGGAGAAAGCACCCGUGCAGUUCACCAGUCACUUAUUAAGGUGGCUGGAGCCAGUGUGGGGCAGUGACAUUACCAGGACAUGCCGGCUGGCUCCUAGAAAAGCCAGCUGUGAGAGAGAAGCUGGGGAGUGACAGCUGGGAGGUGGCUGUAUGCUCCAGCCAGCACAGCUGGGCUGGCCUCCAUACCGGGACUGGAGACGGAGUCCCAAAGAGGGCAAGGACCCAGGACGGGGUCCUGAAGAAGGGUCUGCCUCACAGCAUGGCGACACUCGGUGACUGAGCUGGGAAGGAUGCUGUAGGACAGACGACAAUGCAACAUGCAGGACGUGUUCCAUAGGGGCUUCAAGAAUGGACCUUAAGCCUGGAGGUAGUAGAAUCAUCAGCAGAAGGAGUGCUACUGGCUUCUGGAUUUUUUACCCCAUCCUUCCUCUGCGGCAUCGGGACUUCAGACUGGGGUGAACCAACACUUGUGUCUAUAGCUGGAAAACCCAGAGGCUCCUAAGUAGAAGAUUUUUGCUCUUUUUAGAAUCAUUCUGAUUUGGGGUCAGGAAUGAAUUUUUCCCCAUAGGCUGGAUUGACAGGACCUAGAACCUAAAUUAUGGAACAGAUCAUUCACAGAAAUAAGAUCAACUCUGGCUUUAUUAAAAAAAAAAAGCCAUGAUGGAAGCCUUGAAGAAAGCCUUGAUACCCUUUUCAUGGAAAUAUCAAUCAGGUCAUUUUUCAGUUAAAAAUAUCUGAAUUUCCCAUGAUUUUCCCAACUACUCAUAGAAGAAAAACAAUUUAUGAAGCAAAGCAGCCUGAAAAACUCAGGAAGAGUAAGAAGAAUGCAUCUGAAUGCUCUUUUACUAUCAUUUCCAUACACACACAAAGAUUUUCUGUGUGUAUAAAAAUGUUCAAUCUCUAAUACUUCUUCAUUUAAAAUUUAGAAUAUGCAAAAAUGGUAUUCAUCUAACAAUAUUCCAUGUGUUGCUACACAUGGGUUAUAUUUAUAACCUCAUUUUAUAAUCCUCUCCGCAUGUGAAUAUUUACUGUCUUGGUCAAUGUAACGCAUACAGCCUUACCUGAAACACAGAGUUUCAUUGAACUGCCAGCUGACAUCAGCCAAAUUGAGCUACUCUGUAAACAGAGCUUAAAUAAAUAAAU